GCUUGUGCAAGUUUCUUUGCAGAAACAAUAACUGCCCUCCAUAUUGCUGUCGUCAGGUUUCAGGGCCUUCAGGUGCCGAAAGCCCAAGAGGGUCUCUGGGGUCCCUGGCUGGCGCUCCUUCGUGGCCCUGCCGGCUCUUCGGCCCCGCCGCCCUGGGCCUGCCGAGACUGGCCGCGCGCCCGGCGCCAUUUCCUUUCGGUCGCCUCUCGGCGCGCUGUCGCCGGCAGCCAUGAUGGGAUGCGCCGUGUCCGUUCUUUCGGGAGUUGGCCGGGCGACGACCUCCCGGCCGGGUUAAAGCGCUCUCCGCUCCGCUCGGCUCCCACGGACGUGCAUUUUCUGAACAGAACGUUGAGCCGGCCCCAGCCAAGCACAGUCGGCUAACAAAGAGCCGGGAUGUGGGCGGAGCCCCUCUUACGGUGGCCGCCGCGGGCCUUCGGCCGCCAUUAGCCCGUGGAGGCCCUCGGCUCGCCCGAGACGGAAAGGUGUCAGGGCGGUGGCCUUGAGACCCGCAAAAGACGGAUCGGAGGGGACAUCGGCGGGCCCUCGUGGGGGCUGCAUGUGGUGUCUCCUACGCUGUUCUGUUUCCCAAAUUUUUACGAAAGCAGCAUAAGGAGCAGAGCUUCAUGACAGGCCGGUCAGAUGUCUCUUGGGCCGUAGACUCAGAUGGGCAAUCAGAUUCAUGGGACACGUGUUGACCGCCUGAUGGACUGAGCAGUGUGCUAGGAACUGGGGAACAGCAGUGAACAAACGAGUUCCUGUACUCACGGAGUUUACACUCUAGCGGGGGAGAUAGACGAUAAUUAUUGUUUGUCAGGCAGUUGCCAACUAAGAUGAAAAGAAAGAAAAAUAAAGCAGAGGAAAGGGAUAGAGAGUGUAUGUAUGCCUGGUAGGGGGGAGUAUGCCGGUGAUGGAGUGUUACAUAGGGUGUCCCGGGAAAGCCUUCCUGGUCAAGUGACAUUUAAGCAGAGCCUUAAAGCGAAGGAGCUAGCCUUGCUGACACAAGGAAAGAGCAAGUGCAAAGAACCCCCGGCAGAAUGUGGGUGGAGUAGAGGUAGGAGGAAAGGUCAGAGAAGGCCAGAAAUAAGAAGGGCUUGUAGGCCACUGUAAGGACUUUAUCUUUUCCUUUCAGUAAAUUGGAAAUCUCUAGAAGGUUUUAAGCAGAGUGACAAAAUUAAGAGUAGUGAGCUAGGGCAGAAGCAGGCAUAUUAAUUAGGAGGCUAGUGCAGUGAUCCAGGUAAGAGAUGAUGGAGCUUGGUGCAGGUUAAUAGCAACCAGUAAGGGAGAAAAAGUCUGAUUGAAAAUUGAGCUAAUGAUUUGCUGAUGGGUGGGAUAGGAAAGAAGGAAGAAUCAAGGAUGAAUCUGGUAGGAGUUGGCCAACAGUUAAGCUCCUACUGUGAUUUAGACUGUGUAGGCACUGAGGGAGUUAUUGCGACUGGUUUGUCUACUUAUCAUAUGUGCCAAGUAAUUAAAUCUGAGCCUCUCUAUAUAGCAAUACAUUAUUUAUAGAGUAAGGUAUGUCCACUGAAACCCUCCCUACAUUUUCCCAGGGGGAAAUAAUAUAUUUUGCUACUAGAUCAGGUCCCUGUCUUAGCAAUUCAUAGCUCCUUUGUAUUCAUAAAGCUUUACACAGUAAGUAAUUAUAUAGUUCUGUCAUUAUUUGAUUAAUCCUGCCCUCCAGAAAAAGUGAACUUUUAGUCUUCCUCUGGCAGACAAAUUUCUGAUUAUAAAGUGAAUCCAUAGUAUGCAUUUCUCAUUCGUGAUCUAAUCUCUAUGUCUUCCUACCAGAAAUGGUUGAAGCUUAUUACAUUUUUUCUAGACACAGAGAAUGUUGUUCAUUAAGUUGGGAGGUCGGAGAACCUAG
ensembl:lncRNA